rnacentral:SRP_RNA from 1 species
GCCGGACGCGGUGGCGCGCGCCUGUAGUCCCAGCUACUCGGGAGGCUGAGAUGGGAGGAUCGCUUGAGCCCAGGAGUUCUGGGCUGUAGUGCGCUAUGCCGAUCGGGUGUCCGCACUAAGUUCGGCAUCAAUAUGGUGACCUCCCGGGAGCGGGGGACCACCAGGUUGCCUAAGGAGGGGUGAACCGGCCCAGGUCGGAAACGGAGCAGGUCAAAACUCCCGUGCUGAUCAGUAGUGGGAUCGCGCCUGUGAAUAGCCACUGCACUCCAGCCUGGGCAACAUAGCGAGACCUCGUCUCU